AGUCGAACGAGAAAUAUGCCUUCGGGCAUAUGGACAGUGGCGAACGGGUGCGUAACGCGCGGGAACUUACCGUAUAGUGGGGGACAACAGUUGGAAACGACUGCUAAUACCGCAUACGCCCUUCGGGGGAAAGCUUUAGUGCUAUAUGAUAGGCCCGCGUUAGAUUAGCUAGUUGGUAGGGUAAUGGCUUACCAAGGCGACGAUCUAUAGCUGGUUUGAGAGGAUGAUCAGCCACACUGGGACUGAGACACGGCCCAGACUCCUGCGGGAGGCAGCAGUAGGGAAUAUUGGACAAUGGGGGCAACCCUGAUCCAGCAAUGCCGCGUGUGUGAAGAAGGCCUUAGGGUUGUAAAACACUUUCAACUGUGAAGAUGAUGACUGUAACAGUAGAAGGAGCUCCGGCUAACUCCGUGCCAGCAGCCGCGGUAAUACGGAGGGAGCUAGCGUUGUUCGGAAUUACUGGGCGUAAAGAGCACGUAGGCGGCUAGAUGCGUCAGGGGUGAAAUCCCGGGGCUUAACCUCGGAACUGCCUUUGAUACGGUUUAGCUAGAAUAUCGUAGAGGUUAGUGGAAUUCCAAGUGUAGAGGUGAAAUUCGUAGAUAUUUGGAAGAACGUCAGUGGCGAAGGGGACUAACUGGGCGAUUAUUGACGCUGAGGUGCGAAAGCGUGGGGAGCGAACGGGAUUAGAUACCCCGGUAGUCCACGCCGUAAACGAUGAGUGCUAGCUGUUGGGAUUUUAGGAUUUCAGUGGCGCAGCAAACGCAUUAAGCACUCCGCCUGGGGAGUACGGUCGCAAGAUUAAAACUCAAA
rnacentral:rRNA from 1 species